GCCACGGCUUGGAGUAAACACAAGGCACCAUGGUCAACUACGCAGCUUUCAUGCGGACGCAUUGGGUAAACGUAUUCCUACCCAUCGGCGUAUUUUUGGGGAUGUACUUAGACAGUCUACAGGAACAGAAGCUGACAGGCUUCAGGAACAAAAGUGCUUUGUACAGCAGGGAGCUGAAGCCAGGUGAGGAGACGACCUGGAAGUAGACCACCCAGACCUGAACGGAGUCCUUUCAUCUGUGUUGCAAUGACUGAUGGGCGACCCCUCAAAUCAGCAUAUUUAAGACUCUUCUAUUUCCUUUAAUGAGUUGUAUCAACCAAUAAAAACAUGUACUUUCCCAUCAAA